GGGGGGGGGGGGGGGGGGGGGUCACAAAUGAUUGCUUAACGUUGUUUUGCUGUAGGCCGUUUGUUGCCAUCUCUUGGACUACUUGAGAAAUGCACUCCACCUCAACCUCCCCCCCUCAACACACAUACCCCCAACUCCCAAACUGCAUAAGAGAAGCUGGCAACAGGAAAUCUCCUGUCGAAGUCCUAGUACCACUCAAUUAGGGAGAGUUUAUUAGCCAGUUGGUGGACUUGACAGUAUUAGCACGUUCGUUUUUUGUGUUAUGUGUACUGUAUGUAAGACGCUAAAGAGACGCUAGGCAUCUUUUUUGUUUGUUUGUUCAUUUUGCUUUACAAUUUUAAUUUUAAUUUUUUUUUCCUUUUCACAAUCAACUCUAAUGCAGUUGCCUUGCCCAGUAUGUUUGCUGGUUGGGUCUCAAUGGCAAGGCUGCUCCAUAGAUAAGAGCAGCUAAUAGACUUUGCUGUUAGGGAGCUAGCCUCUACCUUAGACAUCCACCACAUGGGAAUGCAGGGAGUGUGUCUCCUUCCCUGGUUGUGGAUACAGCCAGGCUCUGAUUCUCGAAUGUCCGCCUAGCACCUGGGACGACAGCUGCAACUUGCAUCAAUCAUGUAUCAGCAGCGUGUGUCAAUUUGGAAUUUAUUCUAGGAACAGAGAACCAUUAAAGAUCACAAUGACCUCAAGUGUUGAUGUAUUAUGUGUCAGACUUAAAGGUAACAUUGGAGGAGAGUUUGUCCAUUCUGAAAGAGUUCUUUGUGCGAGUUGGUUUCACACAGUUUUGUCCCAGUUAAACUUAACAUUCAUGAUGUUAUGAAUAUUACAGAACCAAUACAUGACAUCCGACUUAUAAUCACCUUAUGUAUGUGCUUGUAUAUCUAUGCAUAAGUGCACACACUGUCACAAGUAUAUAGGAAAUAUGGAUGGAUGUUUAAAAUGACUAAAAAAAGUUGAUGUCCAGAUAUGACGGACAAAGCAACUCAUGACCAAUGUUAUUGCUAUAUGAACGUUUGAGAAUCCAGACCCAGGGUCUUGUCUGAGGCUUGGAACUCACUGCUUGCUAUGGAUCUUCAGAGCAGUUAUCUAGGGAGCCACUUAGCUGUUGUCUCUAUAACCUGGUCUGCCCCAGACCCUGUGAGCAUCCGGAUCCUGCGUAGUUCCACCACAUAGUUAUCUGUUGUCUGAUAGGUUGUAACUGCUACCUACUGAGAGGAGUUCACUGGAGUGCAGGAUAACCCAUUGAAAUAGAAUAGAAAUAUGUCUACGAGCUAACCCAUCACAGUGCGUGUGACAGCCAGAGGCGAACCAGCAAAGAUAUUGGCAGGCCUAGCAUGGAGUGACAUGAAACCAAAGUCUGAUGUUGAGGAUGUUUUAAAGUGAUGUAUGAAAACCUCCGGGUAAACCAUUACUUCGGACCCAGCAACUACACUAUACCUUUGAUUUCACAGAGCAGUCUGAGAAGGAUUAGAAUUGCUUUCGAUUCUUUAGGUUAGAUGCAAUCUUUCUGCAGUUAGUGGGCGCAUGUGUGUGUGGUGUGUAUGUGUGCGUGUGACUACACGCGUUGUUGUGUGAUGUUUUCCAGUAAAACCCACUACUAAUUAGGAUCUGUUUUGUGAUAAUGAGUGCCUUAAAACCACGCGUGUGGGUGUAGUUAAGGGGAACCAUUCUCCUCUGCAAAUUAAACCCACAUUGGAAGCAGCAAAAAUAGAAGCAGAUUGAGUCACUGUUAAAGUAGAUCAGCCUUUUCUCACUUAUCUGUGUAUCUGUGUGCGCACGUGUGUGUGUGUGUGUGUCUGUCUGCGUAUGUGAGAUUUAGGACUAGAGCAAACCUAAACCAGUCUAACAUAAAUGACUGUCUUGUUAACUUUUUAUGAAAACUUUUGUCUUAUCUUGGGUAUGUAUGACAAAUAAAAAAAUAAUAUACCAGA
ensembl:lncRNA